rnacentral:rRNA from 1 species
GUGGGGAAUUUUGGACAAUGGGCGCAAGCCUGAUCCAGCCAUUCCGCGUGCAGGAUGAAGGCCUUCGGGUUGUAAACUGCUUUUGUACGGAACGAAAAGGCUCUGGUUAAUACCUGGGGCUCAUGACGGUACCGUAAGAAUAAGCACCGGCUAACUACGUGCCAGCAGCCGCGGUAAUACGUAGGGUGCAAGCGUUAAUCGGAAUUACUGGGCGUAAAGCGUGCGCAGGCGGUUUUGUAAGACAGAGGUGAAAUCCCCGGGCUCAACCUGGGAAUUGCCUUUGUGACUGCAAGGCUGGAGUGCGGCAGAGGGGGAUGGAAUUCCGCGUGUAGCAGUGAAAUGCGUAGAUAUGCGGAGGAACACCGAUGGCGAAGGCAAUCCCCUGGGCCUGCACUGACGCUCAUGCACGAAAGCGUGGGGAGCAAACAGGAUUAGAAACCCCGGUAGUCC